GAUGAACGCUGGCGGCGUGCCUAAUACAUGCAAGUCGAGCGAACAGAUAAGGAGCUUGCUCCUUUGACGUUAGCGGCGGACGGGUGAGUAACACGUGGGUAACCUACCUAUGAGACUGGGAUAACUUCGGGAAACCGGAGCUAAUACCGGAUAACAUUUGGAACCGCAUGGUUCUAAAGUGAAAGAUGGUUUUGCUAUCACUUAUAGAUGGACCCGCGCCGUAUUAGCUAGUUGGUAAGGUAACGGCUUACCAAGGCGACGAUACGUAGCCGACCUGAGAGGGUGAUCGGCCACACUGGAACUGAGACACGGUCCAGACUCCUACGGGAGGCAGCAGUAGGGAAUCUUCCGCAAUAGGCGAAAGCCUGACGGAGCAACGCCGCGUGAGUGAUGAAGGGUUUCGGCUCGUAAAACUCUGUUAUUAGGGAAGAACAAAUGUGUAAGUAACUGUGCACGUCUUGACGGUACCUAAUCAGAAAGCCACGGCUAACUACGUG
rnacentral:rRNA from 1 species